rnacentral:sRNA from 1 species
GCAGCCUACAGCCCUGAUGGGGAGAUGGUGGCCAUUGGCAUGAAGAAUGGAGAGUUUGUCAUCUUGUUGGUGAACAGCCUGAAAGUUUGGGGGAAAAAACGAGACCGGAAAUCUGCUAUCCAAGAUAUCAGAAUCAGCCCAGACAACCGAUUCUUAGCCGUUGGUUCUUCUGAACACACAGUUGACUUCUAUGACCUCACUCAGGGCACAAAUCUGAACCGCAUUGGCUACUGCAAAGAUAUCCCAAGCUUUGUCAUUCAGAUGGAUUUUUCUGCGGAUGGCAAAUACAUUCAGCGUCCUCGGAGAUGAAGUCAUUGGAAUCUGGCCACGAAAUGCAGACAAGGCUGAUGUCAACUGCGCAUGUGUGACCCACGCUGGCCUGAACAUUGUCACAGGAGAUGA